rnacentral:rRNA from 1 species
GAUGAACGCUGGCGGCGUGCCUAAUACAUGCAAGUCGAGCGAACAGACGAGGAGCUUGCUCCUCUGACGUUAGCGGCGGACGGGUGAGUAACACGUGGAUAACCUACCUAUAAGACUGGGAUAACUUCGGGAAACCGGAGCUAAUACCGGAUAAUCUAUUGAACCGCAUGGUUCAAUAGUGAAAGACGGUUUUGCUGUCACUUAUCGAUGGAUCCGCGCCGCAUUAGCUAGUUGGUAAGGUAACGGCCUACCAAGGCAACGAUGCGUAGCCGACCUGAGAGGGUGAUCGGCCACACUGGAACUGAGACACGGUCCAGACUCCUACGGGAGGCAGCAGUAGGGAAUCUUCCGCAAUGGGCGAAAGCCUGACGGAGCAACGCCGCGUGAGUGAUGAAGGUCUUCGGAUCGUAAAACUCUGUUAUUAGGGAAGAACAAAUGUGUAAGUAACUAUGCACGUAUUGACGGUACCUAAUCAGAAAGCAACGGCUAACUACGUG